rnacentral:rRNA from 1 species
GACGAACGCUGGCGGCGUGCUUAACACAUGCAAGUCGAACGGAAAGGCCCUGCUUGCGUGGGGAGCUCGAGUGGCGAGCGGGUGAGUAACCCGUGAGUAACCUGCCCUGGACUGGGGGAUAACUGCAGGAAACUGGUGCUAAUACCGGAUAGGAGAUCCUGCUGCUGGGUGGGGGUUGGAAAGUUUAGGAGGUUGGGGAUGGACGCGCGGCUUAUCAGCUUGUUGGGUGGGUAGUGGCUUACCAAGGCUUUGACGGGUAGCCGGCCUGAGAGGGUGGCCGGCCACCAUGGUACUGAGAUACGGCCCAGACUCCUACGUGAGGCAGCAGUGGGGAAUAUUGCACAGUGGGCGGAAGCCUGAUGCAGCAACGCCGCGAGCGUGAUGACGGCCUUCGGGUUGUAAACCGCUUUCACCUGUGACGAAGCGUGAGUGACGGUAAUGGGUAAAGAAGCACCGGCUAACUACGUG